AACUUUCGGCAAUGGAUCACUUGUCUGUCGCAUCGAUGAAGAACGCAGCGAAAUGCGAUAAGUAAUGUGAAUUGCAGAAGUCAGUGAAUCAUCGAAUCUUUGAACGCACCUUGCGCUCCUUGGUAUUCCGAGGAGCAUGCCUGUUUGAGUGUCAUUAAAUUCUCAACCUCAUAACGUUUUCGGACGGUCCUUGAGGCUUGGACUUUGGAGCGUGUCGGUUUCUUAUUGAAGUCGACUCCUCUUUAAAUGCAUUAGCUGGAACCUCUUGUGGACCAGACUACGGUGUGAUAAUUAUCUACGCUGUGGCCUUGUGAAGCACUUUGUUACGAGGUUCUGCUUCUAACCGUCCCUUACACGGACAACAAUCUUAAUUGACAUUUUGACCUCAAAUCAGGUAGGACUACCCGCUGAACUUAAGCAUAUCAAUAAGCGGAGGCU
rnacentral:misc_RNA from 1 species